UAAGGUGCUUAAAUGCACGCUCAUCAGAUACCACAAAGGGUGUUGGUUCAUUUUGACAGCAGGACGGUGGUCAUGGAAGUCGAAAUCCGCUAAGGGGCCCCAGAAACCUAUGCUUACAAACGGCAGGCUAUCAAACCACCUCCCCAC
rnacentral:ncRNA from 1 species